UAAGAGGUGGCAGAACCCAGGAAGCAUG
rnacentral:piRNA from 1 species